rnacentral:rRNA from 1 species
AGACGUCUACAUUAGAUACCCGCGUAGUCCCAGCCGUAAACUAUGCGCGUUAGGUGUAUCGGUGACCACGAGUUACCGAGGUGCCGAAGGGAAACCGUGAAACGUGCCGCCUGGGAAGUACGGUCGCAAGGCUGAAACUUAAAGGAAUUGGCGGGGAGCACCACAACAGGUGGAGCCUGCGGUUUAAUUGGACUCAACGCCGGGAAGCUCACCGGAUAAGACAGCAGAAUGAUUGCCGGGCUGAAGACUCUGCAUGACUAGCUG